AGUGGCGGACGGGUGAGUAACGCGUGGGUAACCUACCUCAUACAGGGGGAUAACAGUUGGAAACGACCGCUAAUACCGCAUAACCCGCUAGUAUCGCAUGAUACAGACGGAAAAGAUUUAUCGGUAUGAGAUGGACCCGCGUCUGAUUAGCCAGUUGGCAGGGUAACGGCCUACCAAAGCAACGAUCAGUAGCCGGCCUGAGAGGGUGAACGGCCACAUUGGGACUGAGACACGGCCAAACUCCUACGGAAGGCAGCAG
rnacentral:rRNA from 1 species